rnacentral:tRNA from 1 species
GGCCUCAUAGCUCAGCUGGUAGAGCAUGCGCGUACAAAGCGUAGGCGGCGUCCAUGCGUGGGUUCGAAUCCCACCGAGGCUA